UGCAAGAAGCACUUUAUAUAGUUCCGUGUUAACGCAGGUGUGAUCCGUUGAGUUUUUCUGACAGUCAGAAAAGUAUUUCUUGAAAAUAACGAGAAUGGACUUUCAAGUCCGUGUCAAGCUUAAUAAAACUACAAUUAAAACACUGUCAGUUGCAACAUCAUCUGAAGAAUUUCAGAGAACCACAAUAAAGGAACUGAAGAAAAAAGCAUUACAAUUUAUCGCUGGAGUAAACGAUGUUAACAGACUGAGGAUGGUUUUUGGAAAAUGUGAUCUCGAAGACGAUAAAACACUUGAAUUUUACAAGAUAAAACAAUUGUCUGUUGUUCAAAUCCUUUUGAGAAUGCCUGGUGGGAGAGAUCCCUUUGAAGAUGCACCCUAAAGGCCAAAAAGUACAACUGAAAGCAAAGAUGCAAAACAUCUUGAAUAAUAGUAUAAUAAUAAUAUUGGGCAAUAUUUGUUUUCCUAUAAAAAGCCAGUUUAAAAACAUAUGAUGAUUCUGUUAAGUCCAUGACAGAGGUAAUGAUUAGCCUACACAUACUAAAUGGCUAAAGUCUGUAAACAUCAUAGCAGUUCACAAUAUAUGGGUAUUGUUAAUAUGCUUAUUAUGUUAUUACAAUUUUAUUGACUGACUGCUCACAACAUGCCAGAACAAUAGCAGAUUUACAAUUUAAAGCAUCACACACUUCAACUUAUAUUUUGGUUUUCUGUUCAUUGUUCAUCUCAAGAAUUUAGUGUAACUUUCAUUGAACUGUAUCCUCAAACGGUUGAAUGUUAAUCAUAUUAUUUUUUAAACAAUAAAAUUAUACCAAUGACAAAAGUACACCACAAACGCUUCUUUAAAUCAAACCAAGUUGAAAAACUUCAGUCCAAGUUUUUGAACUGUGCACUUAUAAAAUACUCUCUGUAAACAAUUCUACAAAAAAUAAAAUUGUUGACCAUGA